GUUCCCAACCCAAACUGGCUAGCCUGUUCUAAUAUCUGCAGUGUUCCGAGCUGGUUGAGCUGCAGAGGGGAAGAACACAGCUAGGAGACUGGACACCUGGCUUCUAUUCCUGGCUCACCGACUUGGGCCAUAAACAAGAUAUCUGGCCUCCUGGACCUCAGUUCCUCCAUUCAUGACACCAGCGGGUCAGCAGCCCUUCCUGCUCUUACACUGAAAAUGAAAGGAAAUUGAUAGAAAUGCAGUAUCAGUUGCUAUUGGGGAAGCCAUGUUGUGAGCAGUCCUGUGGAGAGGCCCACGUGGUGACAAACUGCAGCCUCCUGGGUGAGCUUGAAAGUGGAUUCUUCAGUCUCAGUCAAAUCUCCAGAGACAGCAGCCUUGAGGGGCAGCUUGAUUCCCACCACUUGGGAGACCCUGAGCCAGAACUGCCCAGCUGAGCUACUUCAGGAUGUCCGACCCUCAGAAACUGAUUCAACUUCCAAUCAAAAUCUCAGCAAGGAGUUUUUGUAGGAAUUGACAUGCUGAUUCUAAGACUCGUAUGGAAAUGAAAAGGAUCAAAAGUCGGAUUUACAUAAAGAAAAGGAGAGCAUCAACAAAGGAAUAAGUGAAGACCACGCCGAGCCCCACUGACAGGGAUCCAAACACUCCUUAUUGGUAUGACCCUCUGCUCAGUCUGGCUUGGGGUUCCCUGGGCAGCUGACUCUGACGCUGAGAUUAGAGGGCGGGAAAGUUACUGGGGCAUGCUUUCGGGAGCAACACCUGGAGGAGUGAAGACAGCAGGACUGGGCAGAGGGAGGAGUCGAGCUGUGCUGCAGUCUCCAGGCGCUUUGCACGAGCACCCUGACCCUGGCACAGCAGACUCACUGAGGC
rnacentral:lncRNA from 1 species